rnacentral:rRNA from 1 species
GCCGGAAUUGCUAGUAAUGGCAGGUCAGCAUACUGCCGUGAAUACGUUCCCGGGCCUUGUACACACCGCCCGUCACACCAUGAGAGUUGGAGAUACCCGAAGCCUGUGAGCUAACAAACGAGGCAGCAGUCGAAGGUAGAAUCAAUGAUUGGGGUGAAGUCGUAACAAGGUAGC